GUCCAGACUCCUACGGGAGGCAGCAGUGAGGAAUAUUGGUCAAUGGGCUUACGCCUGAACCAGCCAAGUCGCGUGAGGGAAGACUGCCCUAUGGGUUGUAAACCUCUUUUGUCAGGGAGCAAUUGGCGCUACGUGUAGCGUUAUCGAGAGUACCUGAAGAAAAAGCAUCGGCUAACUCCGUGCCAGCAGCCGCGGUAAUACGGAGGAUGCGAGCGUUAUCCGGAUUUAUUGGGUUUAAAGGGUGCGUAGGCGGAAUGCCAAGUCAGCGGUAAAAUCGCGGGGCUCAACCCCGCCCAGCCGUCGGAACUGCCGGGCUAGAGUGGGCGAGAAGUGCGCGGAAUGCGUGGUGUAGCGGUGAAAUGCAUAGAUAUCGCGCAGAACUCCGAUUGCGAAGGCAGCAUGCCGGCUCCACACUGACGCUGAGGCACGAAAGCGCGGGUAUCGAACAGGAUUAGAUACCCUCGUAA
rnacentral:rRNA from 1 species